rnacentral:rRNA from 3 species
UUCUGCUCAGGAUGAACGCUGGCGGCGUGCCUAAUACAUGCAAGUCGAGCGAACUGAUUAGAAGCUUGCUUCUAUGACGUUAGCGGCGGACGGGUGAGUAACACGUGGGCAACCUGCCUGUAAGACUGGGAUAACUUCGGGAAACCGAAGCUAAUACCGGAUAGGAUCUUCUCCUUCAUGGGAGAUGAUUGAAAGAUGGUUUCGGCUAUCACUUACAGAUGGGCCCGCGGUGCAUUAGCUAGUUGGUGAGGUAACGGCUCACCAAGGCAACGAUGCAUAGCCGACCUGAGAGGGUGAUCGGCCACACUGGGACUGAGACACGGCCCAGAUUCCUACGGGAGGCACCAGUAGGGAAUCUUCCGCAAUGGACGAAAGUCUGACGGAGCAACGCCGCGUGAGUGAUGAAGGCUUUCGGGUCGUAAAACUCUGUUGUUAGGGAAGAACAAGUACGAGAGUAACUGCUCGUACCUUGACGGUACCUAACCAGAAAGCCACGGCUAACUACGUGCCAGCAGCCGCGGUAAUACGUAGGUGGCAAGCGUUAUCCGGAAUUAUUGCGAGCGUAAAGGGCUCGCGGAGCGGUUAUCUAUACAGUCUGAUGUGAAAGCCCACGGCUCAACCGUGGAGGGUCAUUGGAAACUGGGGAACUUGAGUGCAGAAGAGAAAAGCGGAAUUCCACGUGUAGCGGUGAAAUGCGUAGAGAUGUGGAGGAACACCAGUGAGCGAUAGCGCGGCUUUUUGGUCUGUAACUGAGGCUGAGGCGCGAAAGCGUGGGGAGCAAACAGGAUUAGAUACCCUGGUAGUCCACGCCGUAAACGAUGAGUGCUAAGUGUUAGAGGGUUUCCGCCCUUUAGUGCUGCAGCUAACGCAUUAAGCACUCCGCCUGGGGAGUACGGUCGCAAGACUGAAACUCAAAGGAAUUGACGGGGGCCCGCACAAGCGGUGGAGCAUGUGGUUUAAUUCGAAGCAACGCGAAGAACCUUACCAGGUCUUGACAUCCUCUGACAACUCUAGAGAUAGAGCGUUCCCCUUCGGGGGACAGAGUGACAGGUGGUGCAUGGUUGUCGUCAGCUCGUGUCGUGAGAUGUUGGGUUAAGUCCCGCAACGAGCGCAACCCUUGAUCUUAGUUGCCAGCAUUUAGUUGGGCACUCUAAGGUGACUGCCGGUGACAAACCGGAGGAAGGUGGGGAUGACGUCAAAUCAUCAUGCCCCUUAUGACCUGGGCUACACACGUGCUACAAUGGAUGGUACAAAGGGCUGCAAGACCGCGAGGUCAAGCCAAUC